rnacentral:rRNA from 1 species
UUUGGGUGUUAAAAUAAAGAGUCUGGCCUGCCCGGUGAGUUUUUAACGGCUGCAACGAGAGUUGUACUAAGGUAGCGUGAUAAGUUGUCUUUUAAUUGGAGAAUGGUAUGAAUGGUUUGACGUGGAAUUUCUUUUUUUGGAGAAUAAAACAAAGUUUCCUUUUAAGUGAAAAGGCUUAAAUUUUUGUAAAAGACGAGAAGACCCUGUCGAGCUUAAUUGAGGCUACUUGUUUUUAAUGGUUAAAAUUUUUGUUGGGGCAACAUAAAUCAAAAUAGCGGUUUAAUUAUAAAAUUUGGAUCCUCUUUGAGAGAAAAUAGCAAAAGCUACCGCAGGGAUAACAGCGUUAUCCUUUUUAAGAGAUCAAAUUGAGAAGAGGGUUUGCGACCUCGAUGUUGGAUUAUGGUAACUUUAUGGUGUAGCAGCUAUAAUAGUGAGACUGUUCGUCUUUUAAU